rnacentral:tRNA from 1 species
GGUGGCUCAGUGGUAGAGUGAUUGCUUUGCAAGCAUGAGGCCCUGGGUUCGAUUCCUCAGCACCA